UCUUUAACAACACUUGAGAUUGAGGGAUGUCAACAGCUUAUGACUUCGCUUCCAAGGGCUCCAACCGUCGUCAGGAUGGAGUUGAAGGACGAAUCCCAUGAUUUGCUGUUAAAAAAGCUGCCUUCUGGGAUGCACUGUCUUAUAGCUAGCCAUUUCCACUCCCUGGAUUCCCUGCUAAAGAAAGUGGAGCAGAUGGGUUGUUAUUCUACUACUUUAGAGGAAAUUGGAAUAGAAAACUGUGAAUCACUCGAAAGGUUCCCGUUAGAGAUGUUUCCUAAGUUAAAGAGGCUAGAUAUCAGUGGAUGCCCUAAUCUUAAAUAUCUUUUUGCACCCAUUACAGCUUUUGAGGAUUGCAUUUCUGUUCUUGAAGAAAGAAUGCCAGCUUCCUAUUUGACACGGCUUUGCCUAAGAGCAUGCCCCAAUCUAGCAGGGGCCUUGCCCAGUUACUUUCCUUUUUUAACCACACUUGUGAUCAUUGGAUGUCAGCGGCUUAUGGUUUCACUUCCAAAGGCUCCAACCAUCAUCACAAUGGAGUUGAGAGAUGAUUCUCGUGAGGUGGAGUUAGAGGAAUUGCCUUCUGGACUGCACCGCCUCUCAGUUGACAGAUUUGACUAUCCAUAUCCCUUGGUAGAGGGAGUAGAGCAAGCUGAUGGUCUUUCCACUACUUUAGAAGCAAUUGAGAUCAGAAACUAUGAUUCGCUUGAGUGCCUGCCAUUGAACUUCUUUCCCACGUUAAAGAGACUCAACGUCUAUAAAUGUCCAAAUCUUGUAUCCCUUUGUGCAACUGAGGCAAUUUAUGGGCAUUUCACAUUCCUCAGUACCUUGGAGAUUUGGAAGUGUCCUAAUUUGGUCUCAUUUCCCAAAGGAGGACUGUCCGCCCCUAAUUUGGCAUGGCUUUUGUUGUGGGAUUGUGAAAAUUUAAAGUCACUUCCUGAAUGUAUGCACUCUCUCCUCCCUUCCCUGGUGAAUUUGAAAAUAAGUCACUGUCCAGAGCUUCAGUCGUUUCCAGAUGGGGGUUUGCCCUCCAGACUAGAAUCACUUGAGAUCAUUAGUUGUGACAAACUCAUUGCUGGAUGCUUGGAAUGGAACUUGCAAUUACUCCCCUCUCUUUCUCACUUCUGUAUUGGAGAGUGUAAAGGCCUGAAAUCAUUUCCAAAGGAGCUGCUACUGCCCUCCACUCUUACCUCUCUUAAAAUUGUUGAUCUUCAAAGUCUCGAGUAUCUGGACGAUAAUGGGCUUCAACACCUCUCUUCUCUUAGACAAUUGCAGCUUCGGAACUGUCCUAAUCUACGGGCCAUGCCAAGAGAGGGGCUGCUCUCUUCCCUUGCGUCUCUGUCUAUCUGGAGUUGUCCUUGGCUGGAACUAAGGUGUCAACCGGAGAAAGGGGAAGAUUGGCCAAAGAUUUCUCACAUCCCCAACAUACAGCUUUCAGUCAGUUCAUUCGUUUAUCAUUCAGCAGCUCCUAAGCUUGUUGGGUUAGUUUCCGAUGAUCAACAAUGACAAGAGGAGAUCAGAAAUGCUGGCUCAAGCCUCAAGUAAACUAAAUUGGAAAAGAAAUUCGUGUGAUAUUCACCAAUAUGGGAUGGCAAGCAGUGGGAAAAAGCUUUUUUCUAGUAAGCCGUUCGUAAGUCAUAAAGCUUGUGCAAGGGAAGACUGUGCGUAUCUACUGACCCAGCAUUGUAAGGUAUGUUUUUGUCUUUUCAUUGGUUAAAUAUCUCUAGUAAUAGAAAUGUUCCUAAACAUCAUCCUCAAAUUUCCUAAUGGUUAUGUCUAUUAGUUCAAACGAUUUAUUCAGUUUCCUUUCUCUGAAAUCUCCAGCAUUUUCAAUGCCAUUGGUGGAGUGGCAUAUUUCCAUAAAUGCUUAUUGCCAUUUGUUGAAAGAAGGUUCUUUGCAAAUAUACGCAUCUACCACAUUUUUCAUUCCUGUUAUUUGUUCAUGUCAAAUACCUGCUAUCUUUUAUUCCAAGUCUUUGUAGAAUCAGGAUUCUCUAUUCUUUUGAAGGUUUAACAGUUAUCUUGCUGCUCGCGUCGGCAUCUAGCAACAUCACACCACAAUGCCUAUGCGAGCUCUUUGAACAGAAGGUAAACUUAUUCAGGGUGUAGCUGCAGUUCAUUCAGGGGUUGUCACAUGUAAUUUAUUUGUGCAAUGUAAAUCUACUUCAAAAUAUUUCGACUCUUAUCUUUCAGACCUGUGAAAAUGAGGUUCUUCCCUGCACUUUUAUUUCUUGAAUUAUAAUUACUCAUUUUCAGAUUGUGUUUCUUCAAGAGCUGCAGACUCCUUUAUGAUUCAGUAUUUGUUAUCAAGACAAUUUGAGAUAAUUAGUACCCUUUUGAUGAUUCACGUUGGCAAUUUUAUAGUCUUGAUCUUGAAACAAAGCUUCCCUUUUGAUGAUUCACGUUGGCGAAUUUAUAGUCUUAUCUUGAAACAAAGCUUCGGUUAUUAGUUAACAUCGCUUUGCAACAUUUUGAGACUAAUAUUUGUAUUUUAUACCUCUUUUACUUUAUGGAAAUAUUUUACUUUCAAGGAUGGAAAAGUUUCAAAUGUUUGCAUGGGUUACUUGAUUAAGGAAUGGAGCAUCAACAUUCCUGCAUGCCUGAGCAGAAAUUCAAGCAACAAGUAUACGGUUGUUGAUGCUUCCAAAUUCCCAUUAGAGUUAGCUCCGAUUGGCUAAACAUCCCUCAGUUAUAUGUUUGUCAUGGGGUUGACAAUCAUCUGCCUGCUACAAGGUCUGUCCUGAUGAAGAUUCAAAACUACUGGUGCGGAUGGUGCAUAUGUAUUGCAACAGGUUUCAAACCCACUGGCGGUAGUGUAGUGUUUGUAACUAGAAAAUUCAUUUUCAAGAAUGGGGUAAAGGAAUUCUAACAAACAUGCAUUCAAUCCAAUGAUUUUUCUGAUAUCCUUACUAGAAGCCUUGAUACAUCUGUUGCUGCACAGAAAAACCACCAUACCUACCAAUAUAGCAUCUCACAACUUGGCAUGAUAAAUUUAAAAAUAGAAAAGUAAAUAAAAUUUUAUACCUUUUUAACAAUAAUGUUUUUCUAUUAAAGGGUACAUGUAUAAACAUUGAAUUCUUGAAAAUUAGUUUGACCAUGCAAAACAAUAACAAAAUUUCUAUUUUUUUUAUAGGGAACAGAGGAGUGUGAAUUUGCACUUUAUUUUUUAGGCUGGACAAUAAAAUUCCUAUUUAUUUCACUGAAAUAAUUAUAUGAAUUCCUCAAUUUAUAUUUCAAUUAAAAUUACAUAAAUUAAAAAAUAAUAGUAAAUAAAUAGACCAAUUAGAGAUUUAAAUUUGCGCCAUCUCAUCCUUAUAGUAUCUCUGCUAUAAGUAAACAUUUCUCUAACCUUUUUAUAAUUUUUUUUUUUGUAUGUCAG
rnacentral:misc_RNA from 1 species